rnacentral:tRNA from 1 species
GGGGUUGUAGCUCAGAGGUACAGUGCUUGCCUCAAGUGCAUGAGGCACUGGGUUUGAUCCUCAGCACCACA